rnacentral:lncRNA from 1 species
UCCUCAUAUGUCACAAAGUUGUAACAGUGCCAACCCUUACAAGGUCAGUUCCAACCCUGCCUCCUUCAGUAGUCUAUAUACUCUACUCUACUCUCCAAUGUCCUUCUGAGGAUAUCAGUACUUCCAAACAUUUCAUUUCUUUCUGCUGCUGAGGGACCUUGGAAAUAUCCUGAGUCACUGUCUAAGACUGGAAAAAUCCUACCAGGUCUGUUCCAGUUACUCAUUCUGAAUUCGGUGUUAAAGAUACUUCAAGUUCUGGGAAGACAACUGGCUGAUCCUAGGCCUCAUUUUGCCAGGACUCCUACAGAUAGUACGCUAGAGGAUGCUGUGUGCUGUACUGAGUAGAGGUCAGCCUCCUGGACCAAACGCAUGGCAGAAAAGGACCAAACGCAUGGUAGAAAAGGACCAAACACACGGCAGAAAAGAAUGGAAAUGAGGCGGGGAGACCAAGGAAGAAUAACCAGCACACUGGUCUUUCUCUUGUGCAAGGAUGUGUCACCCUCAUCAUAG